rnacentral:rRNA from 1 species
AUUGAACGCUAGCGGCAUGCCUUACACAUGCAAGUCGAACGGCAGCACGGGGGCAACCCUGGCGGCGAGUGGCGAACGGGUGAGUAAUGCAUCGGAACGUGCCCAUCGAUGGGGGAUAACUGCGCGAAAGCGUUGCUAAUACCGCAUACGACCUACGGGUGAAAGCAGGGGACCGCAAGGCCUUGCGUCGAUGGAGCGGCCGAUGCCGGAUUAGCUAGUUGGUGAGGUAAAGGCUCACCAAGGCGACGAUCCGUAGCUGGUCUGAGAGGACGACCCAGCCACACUGGGACUGAGACACGGCCCAGACUCCUACGGGAGGCAGCAGUGGGGAAUCUUGGACAAUGGGCGAAAGCCUGAUCCAGCAAUGCCGCGUGUGGGAAGAAGGCCUUCGGGUUGUAAACCACUUUUGGCGGGAAAGAAAUGGUCUGUGCUAAUACCACGGAUUGAUGACGGUACCCGCAGAAUAAGCACCGGCUAACUACGUG